rnacentral:rRNA from 1 species
GAUGAACGCUGACAGCAUGCUUAACACAUCAGCAAUUGAUUGGUGGCGGACGGGUGAGUAACGCGUAAAUAACUUGCCUCACAGCUAGGGACAACAUUUGGAAACGAAUGCUAAUAACUAAUACUGUGAGAGAGCUUUGCGUCCCAUUAGCUAGUUGGAGAGGUAACGGCUCACCAAGGCGAGGAUGGGUAGCCGGCCUGAGAGGGUGAUCGGCCACAAGGGGACUGAGACACGGCCCGUACUCCUACUGGAGGCAGCGGUGGGGAAUAUUGGACAAUGGACCAAAGUCUGAUCCAGCGAUUCGGUGUGCACGAUGAAGUUUUCGGAAGGUAGAGUGCUUUCUGUUGGGAAGCGGUACCAACAGAAGAAGUGACGGCUAAAUACGUGCCAGCAGCCGCGGUAAUUC